AAUCAACGCUGGCGGCGUGCCUCAGACAUGCAAGUCGAACGCGAAAUUUCCUUUCGGGGAGAAAGUAGAGUGGCGCACGGGUGAGUAACACGUAGGUAAUCUACCUCUGGGUGGGGAAUAACAGCCGGAAACGGCUGCUAAUACCGCAUAAUGCAGCGGCACCGCAAGGUGACAGUUGUUAAAGCGGGGGAUCCUGAAAGGGACCUCGCGCCUGAAGAGGAGCCUGCGGCAGAUAGCUAGUUGGUGAGGUAAUGGCUCACCAAGGCAACGAUCUGUAGCCGGCCUGAGAGGGCGGUCGGCCACACUGACACUGACAUACGGGUCAGACUCCUACGGGAGGCAGCAGUCGGGAAUUUUGGGCAAUGGGCGAAAGCCUGACCCAGCAACGCCGCGUGAAGGAUGAAAUCCC
rnacentral:rRNA from 1 species